AUCCUAGUUAAACCACUAUGAGCAUAGUAACAGUAUCCUCAGGCACUGACUGCUGAAACUAGAGUCCUUCUUCCCCUUUCCAUAUGAAGUGUAAAAUCAAUGAUUUCCCUAUGCCACAAAUACAGAAAAUGUAUUUCAAAGAGCAACAGUUUUUUGAGGUUAUUAUAAUACAUUGUUUUACUUUCUGCUUGGAAGAUUAUUGAAGAUACUGUCCUCAAAGAAGAAAGACAAUAUUAGCUGAAUGAAUCAUAAUUGCCUGCAGCACUUUAAGCAGAUGCAAUUUCAUGUCAAAAUCUCUAUAAAAAUGUCUCCACAUUUCAAAAUAAGUAUUUCAUAUUUUUUUCCACAAAAUGAUCCUCAGCCUUUGUACAAAGUACAUAGGCAUUUAUAAUUCUAUUAUUUUGUGUUUAAAAUAUACAGCGCUUUAAACAAUCCCACAUUUUUCUAUUAGGUAUGGGAAAAAAAAUCUCAAAAUAAAGGUCCAUCAUUUACACUGUAGAUCAGCAUGAGAUCUCACCUCUCGUUUCUUUGUCACCCUCCCUUCCACCUAAGAAAGAGUUUCAUUCUUCAGGUUGUAGCAGACUGGUUUCUCACCAUUCCUUAGGUGUCUUAAACUUUUUAUAUUGCUAAGGACCUUCAAUUUUCCCACUCUACAGCCUGUGAGCUCUGUAGCUCUUCAUGUGAUCUGCUGUGACAGUGUUUUCCCCAAAUUUUUCUCAUGCUGCUGUUUUGCUGCUAUUAUUCCCAAGGCCUUGCUCCCACAAUCUGUGGUGUUGCUAUGUUAGUUACUUUUCGGAAGCAGUUGCCAUUGGUAUAAGAAAGACCCUUCUUUACCGUUGUUCUACCCGCUGCCCAAGAUAAUCCCUGGUUAUGCUGCUGGGGACAAUAACAUGCAUCCAGACAGGUCAGCAGCCAGGCAGUGUGCAGCACCUGCCCUAUGUUGGCACCAACUGAGGCAUCACAAGCAGGAGCAAUCAGCUUGGAGGUUGAGCAAUUCCUGAUGUGUAGUUUGGAAACUGUGUAGUUGCUAAAGGUAAAGUAUUAUAGGGGAAAAACAGCCAGUUGCAUCAGAGAAAACAUACACGGAUGGUGUUUGUCUAGGAAUUCCUGUGCUUUC